rnacentral:lncRNA from 1 species
GCUGCAUCUGCAAACUCAGUGCCAUGAUAUUUCAAGAUUAUAAUUAGAUAUGGAAAAAAAAAAAAAAAAAGCUGGGGAUAUGGUCUAGCCUAGUUUUCUAUUAAGUACAAAUUAACUGUUAGUGAACGUCUUGCUUUUAGUUCUGAUUCCAGUUCAUCUUAGUCACAUCCAAAAUGAAGAAGGCAGAGAAGUGACUUUGGCCGCCCCGCAGUCAGCUCUGGGUGUGCAGAACUGAAGUCUCCUGAUUCGUGAGUGGAAGCUGGCACUGAUGGAGAAAGAGACAGCACGUUAGGCUUUAUCGUGUUCACAUGGGAGUUUCCACUGCCUCCGGAUCAUUUGGCUGUAUCUCACCAAGCUGUGUGGCACACAGAAGGCUAUUCAGAAGUCCCACCAUUCUUCUUUCCAACUUUCAAGAUCAACCAACAGAAACCAGACUGGGACCAGAUUCAGGGGACUGCCCUUCACUUGCAAUCAGUUUCAGAGCUGCCUCAGUGAUGGGCUAAUGAGGUUCACCCGCUGCCAGGCACCUCCCUGCAACUGAGAGCCACUGUACUGCAAAGCAAAGAGAACAACUUUGAUACGUUCUGGAGGUGAGACAGCAACUACAGCUAUGAGACUCGAAAAGAAAGCACCAGAAAGCAGAAUACAAACUACUGCUUGUCAUUUAGCAGAGGCAAACGUGAGCACAACCAAAACAACAGCGUUAUCCGAUUAGCAGCACCUGCAACCAACAGAAGCAGAUCUGCAAAGGGAGCUGUCAGCCGCAGUUGCAACACCAUCGAGUGUGCUAUAAUACACUGAGUGGGAAUAAGGAGCAGUGGUGUAAGAGGUGCAAUUGCAAGAGCACUGAAGGGACACUGGCAGCGCUUGCGGGCCUGAAAUUAGAUCUGCCCAUCUUGUGCAUGGGGGGUGCAAAGUGGGAUUGCGAUGGGGCUCUGCUUUUCCAUAAGGCAAAAAACAUAUUCAAGUUCAGCCUUGAUAUAUGGGUUUAUAUACAGUGAUAUUAUUACUGUUGUUAUUGUGAUACAUGGCAUAAUAACUGCCUUUUACACACAUACGCAGACAUGAGUACCACCACGCACUUAUUUUCUUUGUUACAGAAAAUAUUCAGCAUAUUAAAAUGUCACCAAAGUAUAGUU